rnacentral:hammerhead_ribozyme from 1 species
AUCCAGGCGACGAGUCCCAAAUAGGACGAAACACGCGUCCUGGAU